rnacentral:lncRNA from 1 species
AACCUAUACGGAGCUUGGAAAUCAGCAGAAAGGGCAGGAAGAGUGAAUCGGGUUAGGCGGGGAGAGCUACUAAGCCCCACUGUUGAUCCCGUGGAAAGAACAAGGACCUGGGAAUCGGGCGAUCUGGGAUCUAGUCCUAUUCUGCCUGGAGCUGGAAACGGACUAGAAAGGCUUUUGCUCUGAAGUCCCGGGCCGGCUAGUGGCGCUCGAUCUCAGAAAGCUGAGGAGUCCAGAAAGGAAGGCCCCCCCGCCCCUCCCACCUGAUGGGUGACGGGUGCGGGAAUGGAAACUAAGCUCUUCGAAGAGAGGCCGCGCCCCGCCGAGAGCGGGGGGACAUCGAGGGAGACAAAGCCCGAAGGAGCAGAUGCCAGAUUUCGCGGGCCCGCCUCUCAGCCUGCCACUGACUCCCAUCCGGGGACCUGUUCAGCUGGGAAUAGCGAGACCCCCUCGGUGCUGGUCAGAGGGUCGGGAAACAGUAGUCCCCUCGGUGGGGCGUCCCCCCGCUCCCUUUCGGUCAGAGCUGUGGAUUCUCUCCACCUUUCCCCUUGGGAGAGAAACCUCGCCACGCUUCUUCCAAGCGAACGCCCCAGGGAGACCCCAGAAAGGGGCCCUCAGACCCACAUCAUCCGACAAGAACCCAGCACAAUCGUUUUUGCCAACUACGAGUUUUUAUCCCCUGCCGUCGAUUCUGUGCUCCGCGGCCCAGAGGUCCCGGACGCCGAAGCCUCUUCAUAUGAGUCCGGGGAGGAGGAGGAGGGAGAAGAGGGUGACGAAGAUGUUUUCACCCAGCCAUCCCUUCGCGAGCCGUUUGUCCACGGCCUUCUCCCGAGCAUCAUUCCCGCAGACCAGCCAGAGGCAUGUGAAUUCCCCGAGGAGGGGGAUGUUUGUCUUACACCGAGCCCCCCGGGGCGUUGGGAGAGAGAACCUAAUGAACGGGCGACGGGAGAGAAGCAGAUCCACAAAGCGAGCCCACCGAAGGAGGUCUCUGGAUUUUCAGACUCUAUGUCCGAUCUCAUGAAGAACCUGGAGCAACUGAAUCUAGAUCUUGAAGAAGCUCUCAAUCAUGGCUCUUCUCCUUCUCAGACUACUUCUUUCAAGAGGCGAGAGCAGCAGUCUUCUGUUAAACUGGAUGCCGGUGAGAAUAGAGAUCCUCAGAGGAAGGGAAUUGGUAGAAAUAAGUGGGGAAGCUUCCAGAAGCUAGAUGACUGGCCAAACCCAAUGUCAGCUGGAGCACGCCCCAAAAUUAAAGUAAGUAGCUACAUUUCAGAAUAUUCUGGCUACCAUUCCGAGCUCCAGGACAAGUAAUAUUCCUUGGCCUAGAAAAACCUUCAUUGGCAUUCUUUAUUAUUGUUGUGUUAAGAUAAAUGUAACAUCGGGACUGCUAGGAUUUCCCGGGCAUGUUAAGCACAAGAAGAAGCGUACGAGAACGGAGAUCGUAAACUCCUUGUGGC